rnacentral:rRNA from 1 species
UACGAAGGGGGCUAGCGUUGCUCGGAAUGACUGGGCGUAAAGGGCGCGUAGGCGGAGAUAUCAGUCAGAUGUGAAAUUCCUGGGCUUAACCUGGGGGCUGCAUUUGAGACGGUAUUUCUAGAGUGUGAAAGAGGGUCGUGGAAUUCCCAGUGUAGAGGUGAAAUUCGUAGAUAUUGGGAAGAACACCGGUGGCGAAGGCGGCGACCUGGUUCAUAACUGACGCUGAGGCGCGAAAGCGUGGGGAGCAAACAG